GUUAACGAAUCCGACUAGGAACCAUGAGGGUGCGGGUUCGAUCCCUGCCCUUGCUCAGUGGGUUAACGAUCCGGUGUUGCCGUGAGUUGUGGUGUAGGUUGCAGAUGAGGCUCGGAUCCCGUGUUGCUGUGGCUCUGGCAUAGGCCAGUGGCUACAGCUCCGAUUCAACCCCUAGCCUGGCAACCUCCAUAUGCCACGGGAGCAGCCCAAAGAAAUAGCAAAAAGACAAAAAAAAAAUGAACUGUAGUCAUGAAUGCCUGUUUAUAAACAUGUCUCCUUCACUAUCACAUGAAGUAAAAAUUUAGAAGAAAAGAAGCACUUGAAUUUAUAGUGAUUUAAAUUGUUAUUUUAAAUUGUUACCUGUUUCAAACUUUUCAUGAGAGCCUACUUUUUCUUUUUUUUACUGCGGGCUUCAAAGCAAUCCAUUAAUAUUUACAUUUAUAAUAAUAUUGUAAUGUGUUCAAGGGUUCAGAUAUUUUACUCAGUUUUCUAUUCAUAGGUAGCAAUAAUUUUAUUCUUUGUUGUUAGAUAGCAUAUUUUUAGAGUGUUGCAAUGUAUACAAUUUUUUGUUUGCUUUUUUGUCUGUAAUUUCUUUGUUACUAUAACUAAAUUGAAAUUAUAACAUCAUGUAAGGCAAACAUACAAGCUCUUAAAAGAAUGUUAACCAGUGUAGACUAACAUGUAUUUUUUUUCUCCUUGAAAAUAAUAUCCUGUGUCCACAGCAACAAAUCAAAAUUUAACUUGUCCCUUUUAGAAUAAAAGUGCUCCUUUUUGUGACUCCAUUGAGUCAAGUUUUUAGAAGUAGUAACAAAAUAUUAAUUAUUGAAGGUACAUUUUUAAAAAAUAUUUGCUUUUAGGAUUUAAUGGAUUCAAAGCAAUAACAUCAAAAAGGUGUAUCAAGUCCAUUUUCUCCUCACCUUUCUAGAUGCAUAAGAUUCAAUAAAAAUGUAACUGAUAUAAAAUCUGGUAUUAAUAAUCUUGUUAUGCCUAACAUUUGUAGUCCUGUUAUGAAUGUGCCUGGCUUACUGUGGCUAACACUUCAAAUGGUCUAUGCUGUAAUAUAGUCAAAGUAGGACUAGUUUUUUUUUCUUGCUGCCUUUUUAGGGCUGUACCCACGGCAUUUGGAGGUUCCCAGGCUAGGGGCCUAAUCAUAGCUACAGCCUCCAGCCUACACCACAGCUACAGCAAUGUGGGAUCCAAGCCGUGUCUCUGUGGUGUAGGUGACAGACGUGCCUCGGAUUCCGAGUUGCUAUGGCUGUGGCAUAAGCUGGCGUCUACAGCUCCAAUUAGACCCCUGGCCUGGGAACCUCCAUAUGGUGUGGGAGCAGUCCUAGAAAAGACAAAAG
rnacentral:lncRNA from 1 species